rnacentral:rRNA from 1 species
AACGAACGCUGGCGGCAGGCUUAACACAUGCAAGUCGAGCGCCCCGCAAGGGGAGCGGCAGACGGGAGAGUAACGCGUGGGAAUCUACCCAUCUCUACGGAAUAACGCAUGGAAACGUGUGCUAAUACCGUAUACGUCCUUCGGGAGAAAGAUUUAUCGGAGAUGGAUGAGCCCGCGUUGGAUUAGCUAGUUGGUGGGGUAAAGGCCUACCAAGGCGACGAUCCAUAGCUGGUCUGAGAGGAUGAUCAGCCACACUGGGACUGAGACACGGCCAGACUCCUACGGGAGGCAGCAGUGGGGAAUAUUGGACAAUGGGCGCAAGCCUGAACCAGUCAUGCCGCGUGAGUGAUGAAGGCCCUAGGGUUGUAAAGCUCUUUCACCGGUGAAGAUAAUGACGGUAACCGGAGAAGAAGCCCCGGCUAACUUCGUGCCAGCCGCCGCAGUAAUAC